rnacentral:rRNA from 1 species
GACGAACGCUGGCGGCGUGCUUAACACAUGCAAGUCGAACGAUGAAGCCGGAGCUUGCUCUGGUGAAUUAGUGGCGAACGGGUGAGUAACACGUGAGUAACCUGCACUUGACUCUGGGAUAACUGCGGGAAACUGUAGCUAAUACCGGAUACGACCCUCGGAGGCAUCUCCUGGGGGUGGAAAGAAUUUCGGUCAAGGAUGGACUCGCGGCCUAUCAGCUAGUUGGUGAGGUAAAGGCUCACAAAGGCGGCGACGGGUAGCCGGCCUGAGAGGGUGACCGGCCACACUGGGACUGAGACACGGCCCAGACUCCUACGGGAGGCAGCAGUGGGGAAUAUUGCACAAUGGGCGCAAGCCUGAUGCAGCAACGCCGCGUGAGGGAUGACGGCCUUCGGGUUGUAAACCUCUUUUAGCAGGGAAGAAGCGAAAGUGACGGUACCUGCAGAAAAAGCACCGGCUAACUACGUGCCAGCAGCCGCCGUAAGAC